AUUGAACGCUGGCGGCAGGCUUAACACAUGCAAGUCGAGCGGUAACAGGGGGUGCUUGCACCCCGCUGACGAGCGGCGGACGGGUGAGUAAUGCAUAGGAAACUGCCCAGUAGUGGGGGAUAGCCCGGGGAAACCCGGAUUAAUACCGCGUACGCCCUUCGGGGGAAAGCAGGGGAUCUUCGGACCUUGCGCUAUUGGAUGUGCCUAUGUCGGAUUAGCUAGUUGGUGGGGUAAAGGCCUACCAAGGCGACGAUCCGUAGCUGGUCUGAGAGGAUGAUCAGCCACAUCGGGACUGAGACACGGCCCGAACUCCUACGGGAGGCAGCAGUGGGGAAUAUUGGACAAUGGGGGCAACCCUGAUCCAGCCAUGCCGCGUGUGUGAAGAAGGCUUUCGGGUUGUAAAGCACUUUCAGUGAGGAGGAAAACUCUGCGACUAAUACUCGUAGGGC
rnacentral:rRNA from 1 species